rnacentral:rRNA from 1 species
UACGAAGGGGGCUAGCGUUGCUCGGAAUUACUGGGCGUAAAGCGCACGUAGGCGGCUUCUUAAGUCGGUGGUGAAAUCCUGGAGCUCAACUCCAGAACUGCCUCGAUACUGGGAGCUCGAGUCCGGGAGAGGUGAGUGGAACUGCGAGUGUAGAGGUGAAAUUCGUAGAUAUUCGCAAGAACACCAGUGGCGAAGGCGGCUCACUGGCCCGGUACUCGACGCUGAGGUGCGAAAGCGUGGGGAGCAACAGGG